UACGUAGGGUGCAAGCGUUGUCCGGAAUUAUUGGGCGUAAAGAGCUCGUAGGCGGUCUGUCGCGUCGAAUGUGAAAACCCGGGGCUCAACUCCGGGCUUGCAUUCGAUACGGGCAGGCUAGAGUUCGGUAGGGGAGACUGGAAUUCCUGGUGUAGCGGUGAAAUGCGCAGAUAUCAGGAGGAACACCGGUGGCGAAGGCGGUUCUCUGGGCAUUACCUGACGCUGAGGAGCGAAAGUGUGGGGAGCGAACAGG
rnacentral:rRNA from 1 species